UACGUAGGUGGCAAGCGUUGUCCGGAUUUACUGGGCGUAAAGGAUGCGUAGGUGGAUAUUUAAGUGGGAUGUGAAAUACCCGAGCUCAACUUGGGUGCUGCAUUCCAAACUGGAUAUCUAGAGUGCAGGAGAGGUAAGUGGAAUUCCUAGUGUAGCGGUGAAAUGCGUAGAGAUUAGGAAGAACACCAGUGGCGAAGGCGACUUACUGGACUGUAACUGACACUGAGGCAUGAAAAGCGUGGGGAGCAAACAGGG
rnacentral:rRNA from 1 species